GACGAACGCUGGCGGCGUGCCUAACACAUGCAAGUCGAGCGAAUGAAGUUCCUUCGGGAACGGAUUUAGCGGCGGACGGGUGAGUAACACGUGGGCAACCUGCCUCAUAGAGGGGAAUAGCCUUCCGAAAGGGAGAUUAAUACCGCAUAAGAUUGUAGUAUCGCAUGGUACAGCAAUUAAAGGAGCAAUCCGCUAUGAGAUGGGCCCGCGGCGCAUUAGCUAGUUGGUGAGGUAACGGCUCACCAAAGCGACGAUGAUUAGCCGGUCUGAGAGGGCGAACGGCCACAUUGGAACUGAGAGACGGUCCAAACUCCUACGGGAGGCAGCAGUGGGGAAUAUUGCGCAAUGGAGAAGAACUCUGACGCAGCAAUACCGCGUGAGCGAAGAAGGUCUUCGGAUCGUAAAGCUCUGUUAUCAGGGAAGAAGAAAAUGACGGUACCUGAUGAGCAAGUCCCGGCUAACUACGUGCCAGCCGCCGCAGUAACAC
rnacentral:rRNA from 1 species